UUCUUACUAGCUCAAAGGUAGAGCAUUAUACUUCUAAUAUAAUAAUCUAAGUUCAAAUCUUGGGUAAGUUUAAG
rnacentral:tRNA from 2 species